CAGGUCAGGUUCAUAUAGCUGUAACAAGGACAAAAACAAAAACCCAAAAUUAAAUACUCUCCAUUUUCUGCUACAGUACUGUACAGGAAGAAGAAGAAGCUAGAGGUGCAUAAAAGCUUAGCAUUUAUGCCUAGAUCGGGGUGGAGGAUAUUGAGUCACGAGUCUUCUGUUUACCUAAAACAUGCAUGCCUCGUGCCUCUUCUUCUCUCCUCCUCAAUCAAUCUCAAGCUUCUGGUUGUUCCUUCUUAUAUUAAGGUCUUUUCCAACAAAGGCAAAACCUUAUUCAGUGCCUCGGUGGCUUGGUUCAUCUUUCCUCUCCUUUCUGGUAUGUUCGGUUUGAGAGCUUGAAGCUGCCAGCAUGAUCUGGUACCACUAGAGACUAAACCUAGCUAGCUAGCUUUAUAAAUUCUAUAUUCAGGGUUAAUUUUGUGCUUAUAUCAUAUAUGUCCGUUUUCAGGUUUAGAUAUAAGAACUGCACCAAAUAGAUCGGCAAAAGAUCAGCUUUAUAUAGAAAUAGUUAUUAUUCUCGCACCACCCAGUUAUUAGAAUAGGAUCCGGUCGGUGUUGAUUUUGUGCUUAAGUCCAAUGGUUUCAGGUUUAGAUAUAAGCUAGAACGCCGAAUAGAUUAGCAGAAGAUCCAGCUUUUUAUCAAAAUUUUGAUGGGGGUAUUAUAGUUUUUGAUAGAUCUUGGUUUAUUUCAUGUUCUGGGAAUUCUGGAGAAACGGGCCGGUUUGGAGUCAAUUGAUUCAGUUAAUUACUACAUAAUUAUAUAAGGUUACUCUAGCUAUACCAGGUCAUCUUGCAGCUUCAAACACUCACUCACCAACAGUAUAAAACUCGAUCUAGCUCUCAAUUGAUAUGGAGGUCUUAUGGUGAUUGUCUGCUCGUCCCAAGGAGAUAGGCUUGGUUUCUGCAGGGUUCCCAUCGCUUAUAUAAUUGAAGCUCUAACACAGUGCACUGGUCUGGUACUCUUACUAGUUUAUUGAGAAGAUAGUAACAAGAUCAAUGAACGUGGUCACUCAGAUUCUCAGAAAACACGUUCUCUGAGAAAUUAAUUGCUUUAUAGCAGCUAGCUAUCUGCAAAGUGCAGCCUACAGACUGUCGUAAACGGCAAACCCAGAAAACAUAUUACUAAUUAACCAGCUGGAUCGUCUCUGAGAAAAGGGUUGCAUGCCUUUACUGGUUGAUGUGUGAUUAUGGUCAUGCAUGCUAAUUAUUAUCGCUGGUUGUUUAUAGCUAGGGUCAAGAAUCGAGUUUAAUUUCACCGAUCAUCAGAUAACUAACAAAUAUGAAUGUACUACUAAUAAAAA